UCUGAUGUGGUUAAAGUGCAUCUUGAGUUAGCCAUGUGUGGCUUCCAAUCAAGUUAGUUUGAGCUGUUUAUUGAUAAUUUUCUAGCGCUUAGCUGGAUCCAGUUAAAUCGCAGAUGAAAAGCAAGAAAUCUUGUGAGAUCUGGCAACGUGUGCAUAUAUCGGGUGAAAAGUGGUCAAGGACCAUGCACCCACGCUACAGCGUUCAGUCUUUCCCAACCCAGGAUGCCUUUUAAGAAGACAGAGGGGCGACUAGAGGUGGGCAGUACAAAGUUAACACCUCAGAACUUGUCUGUGAUGUGCAAGGUGGGCAUCCUCGUCAGGUGCAAGAUCUGUCAUAGGUUGUUGAAGAGAGGCUUUGGGUUCUUCCAAGUAAGAUGAUAUUGCCAUACAUGAAGAUUCUCAAGAGACAAAUAGUAUAUGAAGUCAUCCAAACGUGCAGUUCUUGUCAACAGCAGAACUUCAGUGAUUUUUAAAGAUUCGAUCAUUAUUAUUUUGUUUAAUCCAUACAAUUCAGUUUGAGUGUCCAGAGUAUAAACAUUUUUACAGAAUUGUUUGUCGACUUUUUAAGUGAUGUUUAUGAAAAAAGGAUUAAAGCCAUGUCCUCAAA